AAUGUUCACAUGUAAACAGCAGCUCAUGUGGUGUAGAUGUCCAGUCAACAAGGAUGUAGCGAGGUUGACUGUCCAGGCGACACACGUACUUAGGUAUCGUCAUGAGCUAAUGUUCACAUGUAAACAGCAGCUCAUGUAGUGUAGAUGUCCAGUCAACAAGGAUGUAGCGAGGUUGACUGUCCAGGCGACACACGUACUUAGGUAUCGUCAUGAGCUAAUGUUCACAUGUAAACAGCAGCUCAUGUAGUGUAGAUGUCCAGUCAACAAGGAUGCAGCGAGGUUGACUGUCCAGGCCACACACGUACUUAGGUAUCGUCAUGAGCUAAUGUUCACAUGUAAACAGCAGCUCAUGUAGUGUAGAUGUCCAGUCAACAAGGAUGUAGCGAGGUUGGCUGUCCAGGCGACACACGUACUUAGGUAUCGUCAUGAGCUAAUGUUCACAUGUAAACAGCAGCUCAUGUAGUGUAGAUGUCCAGUCAACAAGGAUGUAGCGUAGACUGUCCAGGCGACACACGUACUUAGGUAUCGUCAUGAGCUAAUGUUCACAUGUAAACAGCAGCUCAUGUAGUGUAGAUGUCCAGUCAACAAGGAUGUAGCGAGGUUGACUGUCCAGGCGACACACGUGCUUAGGUAUCGUCAUGAGCUAAUGUUCACAUGUAAACAGCAGCUCAUGUAGUGUAGAUGUCCAGUCAACAAGGAUGUAGCGCGGUUGACUGUCCAGGCGACACACGUACUUAGGUAUCGUCAUGAGCUAAUGUUCACAUGUAAACAGCAGCUCAUGUAGUGUAGAUGUCCAGUCAACAAGGAUGUAUGACUAGUGAAGAUUGGCUAGUUUCUACCGUUUAUAAUUACACCAAACAAUUAAGGUUACAUCUUUUGUUUUCCUCUUGUCACACGGUAGUAAUUACUGCGAGGGCUAAACAAUAGAGGGUGAACGGUUUGUGACCUUUCAUUUUAAAUGGUCAAACCUAUUGUAUUGUGCCUGCGUUUUUCUAUCUGAGGGGAUAUGUAGAAAGGUUUUCUAGUAGACCACUUUUUCCCAUAUUUUGUAUUUAGUCAAUUUUGUUCCUUCACUUUAUCGCAUUCAGUGAUCAGAUGGAAUCAAAAAUAUGCUAACAAGACAGCAGUUCCAUCAUCAUUACAUUGACGGUUAACAGUCCACAAUAUUGCGUUUUUCACGAUAUUUUGUAUCUCAGGGUGCUUUUCCAUAAUAGAUGUGCUACGAAGAUGUAAUAACUAAGCUGUGAAACUAGGCGAACGUUUCCACUGAAAACUACUAAGCUAUGUAGCUAUGGGAGGAAAAUAUGCGAUGUAUCGAUAGUAGGAAAGCCAUCCAUAGCACACAUUCAUAGCAACGGCACUGAUUAAUUACCAUUAAGUGGCAUGACUCCUCAUUCCCAUAAAACUUUUUAUUUAAAGAGGGACUGCCUUCAAUUCUCUUUACCUUUUCAGUCAAGUAAUAUCCCUUAAAUCUUCUUCUAAGUCUGAAAACCACUAUACCGAUAACCGCAUCAAAAUCGUUUCAGCCAAACGCGAGAUAAUCGCGUAGAAACAUACACACCUAUAUACAGAUUAAAUGGAGAACCUCCUUUUCUUUGAAGUUGGUUAAAAAAACUAUGUAUAUCUUGACCGAAGAGAUUUUUCAACGGACUUUUUGCAGACCGAUUUUUUUUUCAAAAUUUAAGCCAGCUGUUUUAUACCCUUCAUUGGUUCCGUCACCACCUGAUAUGUACCCUAACCUAAUUUAUGGCACCCAUGCUGCAACGCACCAUUGAAUCGAACCGGUGCAAUAUCGGAGCGCAACUUAUUGGUCACUGAGCACCUGUGACAUGGUCUACUGACCGUCAGUGUGUUGAAGUUGGAUUGAAGAUUAGUAACGUAAUAUCACGCUUGUAUUUAAUUAAAGGGCUAAGUAGAAUAAUGAUUUUAAUAAGC